UGGGGAAUAUUGCACAAUGGGGGAAACCCUGAUGCAGCGACGCCGCGUGAACGAAGAAGGUAUUCGUAUCGUAAAGUUCUGUCCUAUGGGAAGAUAAUGACAGUACCAUAGAAGAAAGCUCCGGCUAAAUACGUGCCAGCAGCCGCGGUAAUACGUAUGGAGCGAGCGUUGUCCGGAAUUAUUGGGCGUAAAGGGUACGCAGGCGGUUUAAUAAGUCGAAUGUUAAAGAUCGGGGCUCAACCCCGUAAAGCAUUGGAAACUGAUAAACUUGAGUAGUAGAGAGGAAAGUGGAAUUCCUAGUGUAGUGGUGAAAUACGUAGAUAUUAGGAGGAAUACCAGUAGCGAAGGCGACUUUCUGGACACAAACUGACGCUGAGGUACGAAAGCGUGGGGAGCAAACAGG
rnacentral:rRNA from 2 species